ACACGGAAAAUCCCGAAGUUAUUUUAAGCAAACAGUGUUUUUCGACCUUAGCUGUAAAGAGGUCCGCGUAAGAAAAUAGUACCAGAAUAUUUCAAGCAAAACAAUAACAAUUCAUUUAUUUACAAGACAACAGCCACUUACAAAUGUUACCAAAACUCAACCAAAUCAAUAACAAUAACCAAAUUAUAUUUAUAGCGAUGUAAAGAGUCAGGUUCAUUUAGAAUUUGUUUUUCUACACAGUAGGCCGAGCACGUGAGUCGACUUGGCGUGUAGAGCAAAUCGAUGCUUUUUGUCGGAUUUACGGUGUGUUAAAGGUGUUAUUGCAAUACUGGAUUAGUUAUUGUGUACAUGAAAAUUCUGGAUGUUGAACGUUGCCCCGAAGAACUGGGAUUUAAAUGAGCUGGACAGUGACUGCUGAAAGCUGUACUGUGGCUGUGGGUGGGGAACUUGCACUUGUGUUUCGGGUAGAAUUUCCGCUUCGGUCUGAUGUUGUUCCGGCUGGCUAGGGGGCUGCGUUGACGAAAAUGUGGCCGUGCUGGUGACAGAGUGUUUCCUUCCUUGAAUUGGAUCUGCAUUUUGACCAUGGGAGGCAAGUAUCAAAUUGAUUAUACCUAAGGCUGUAUUGUUCCUUUGUGCCACGCAAACCAAAAUGCAAGCAGUUGUUUAGCCACAUGGUGUGGACAAGAGCUUUUGGACUGUUAGGACCUAGGACACCCUUCUGCCACAUUAUAUCUAUUUCAUGGUCGCUUCCGGUCCAGGCUACUGAUGAUGGCCCGGAUACUUGUCGGCUCAAACUCUGUGCCAUCUUCGCGUUGCAGGGAUAGAAUGAACGUUGCAAUAUGCUCGUCAAGGAAAUCGACAUCCAACUGAUGCAUUUCUCUGGUCUCACCCUUUGUCAGUAGAAACCUCUGGAACUUUUUUGUGUCAUUUAAUGUUUUUUUUGCUGUGUUUUUGUUUUCUUCUUUUGUGAUGUACUGUCGGACUUCAGAAAGCUCUAUGUUUUUAAAUUCAUUUGGAAUUGACUGGUUGAGAUGUUUAGCUUCAUUUUGAAUUGUAACAUUUGUGUUAUUUUGAUCAUCACAAUUUGACUCAGGGGCAUUAUUCUCAGUUAAAUCCUCAUCAAAUUGAAGUGCAUUUAUUCCAUAUUUUUGCUCAAAUUCUUCCAAACUUAAUUCCACAGCAUUUGAAAACAAACCAUCCCAUACUACAUCAAAAUCACCUGUUUCUUGGUUGAACAUUGUUGUCAGAAUUUAUUUCAUUUGAUGAAAUAUGUUUUGCUGCAGUUUUAUUUUAAUUCUUGAUUGUGUAUUAUUUAUUUUUUCAUUAUUUCAACCACAAUUGACAUUUAAGACUUAAGCAGACGACUUGAUUUGCUGCUGACUUAUUUAAUAAAAUACAUGAAAUAAAAAAGAAACAUUUCAUAUAUUUUAAAUAUUUAUUUCCAAACAAUUUAUUUCCAAUUAAAUGAAAAUAAUAUAUUUUAUUAUUGCAUUGUGUUGAUUUUUAGCCAUUCAUUGACAAGAAAAGUCACACACAAGGUAAACAAUUGCUAACUACUGAACCGUGAUACAAAAAGUAGUCCCUCGUAAUAAUGACGUCAUGAGGACGCGCACUUAAUAUUUGUUAACAAUGUUGUUAUUUUGCUGUUUGUGUUGCAUUUUGUGUUUCAAAUAUAUUACAUCUUGGUAUCAAAUUGUUUGUUUUGUUUAAUCUGAUUCGAUUUUACUAAAACUGAUUACUUAAUAGUUGAUUCCGAGUAAUAUGACCAUUCUCCUCACAUAACAGUCCGCCGCGCCGGACAGCUCUACUUCAGCACUGCCGAAAUAGAGGAAAAUUUAUUCCACAGGGGUUUAUUUCGACAAUGCACGUCUGAUGAUGG